UCUUCCUAUCCUGGUCCUGCAUAAGGGACCAAGGGUGAGGCUGCUCGCCUAUUAAAAGGGAACGUGAGCUGGGUUUAGACCGUCGUGAGACAGGUCGGACUUUAUCUGCUGGGAGUGUUGGCUGCCUGAGGGGAAAGGGUCCCUAGUACGAGAGGAACGGGACGCUGUAGCCUCUAGUUAACCGGUUGUCUGAUAAGGCAGUUGCCGGGCAGCCACGCUGUUGUGGAUAAGAGCUGAAAGCAUCUAAGCUCGAAGCCUCUCCUGAAAAGAGGCAGCCAUUCCAGUUUCACUGGACGAAGGCACCCAUAAAAGAUGGGUUUGAUGGAGCUGGGGUGUAAGCUAGAAGACUUCGGUCGACUAGCUCAGCCUGCGGCCACCAAUCGCCUAAGUUGUCAAUCAA
rnacentral:rRNA from 1 species